GACGAACGCUGGCGGCGUGCCUAAUACAUGCAAGUAGAACGCAGUUGCGAACGGGUGAGUAACGCGUAGGUAACUGCCUGGUAGCGGGGGAUAACUAUUGGAAACGAUAGCUAAUACCGCAUACUACCAGAUGGACCUGCUUUGUAUUAGCUAGUUGGUGAGGUAACGGCUCACCAAGGCAACGAUACAUAGCCGCCCUGGUCGGGUGAUCGGCCAACCUGGGACUGAUACCAGGCCCAGCCUCCUACGGUAGGCAGCAGUAGGGAAUCUUCGGCAAUGGGGGGAACCCUGACCGAGCAACGCCGCGUGAGUGAAGAAGUUUUUCGGAUCGUAAAGCUCUGUUGUUAAGGAAGCGGUACUUAACCAGAAAGGGACGGCUAACUACGUGCCAGCCGCCGCGGUAAUAC
rnacentral:rRNA from 1 species